UNCCCGUUGGUCAAGUGGUUAAGACACCGCCCUUUCACGGCGGUAACACGGGUUCGAAUCCCGUACGGGUCA
rnacentral:tRNA from 1 species